rnacentral:rRNA from 1 species
UAGGGAAUCUUCCACAAUGGACGCAAGUCUGAUGGAGCAACGCCGCGUGAGUGAAGAAGGUUUUCGGAUCGUAAAGCUCUGUUGUUGGUGAAGAAGGAUAGAGGCAGUAACUGGUCUUUAUUUGACGGUAAUCAACCAGAAAGUCACGUCUAACUACGUGCCAGCAGCCGCGGUAAUACGUAGGUGGCAAGCGUUGUCCGGAUUUAUUGGGCGUAAAGCGAGCGCAGGCGGAAUGAUAAGUCUGAUGUGAAAGCCCACGGCUCAACCGUGGAACUGCAUCGGAAACUGUCAUUCUUGAGUGCAGAAGAGGAGAGUGGAAUUCCAUGUGUAGCGGUGGAAUGCGUAGAUAUAUGGAAGAACACCAGUGGCGAAGGCGGCUCUCUGGUCUGCAACUGACGCUGAGGCUCGAAAGCAUGGGUAGCGAACAGG